CGGGUUAAGGAUUCCUCACUGGCGUAUAGGCCUGUAUCAUUCUCAGCGGGAAAAGUAGAGGGCUGUUCUGGAGCAUGCGCAAAGCACACUGAAGAACCCUGUUUCUGCUGUCACAACGUUGAGGGGUAAAGCGACUGCGAGUGGGUCCAGCUGCCAAACAGCUCUGAGAGUGAGGAUUUAUCGCCGUCUCUGCCUCUCACCAAGUGUUUACAUGCACAGUCCCCCUGGCCAUUAUGGUGAUUGAAUGGAGGCCAAGGCCUCCGAUGUGUGUAAGCAUAAUCAUUUGCCACCACUGAAUACCUUAAAGUCCUGAACAGGGAUUGCCCCAUACCUCUGUUGGGUGAAAUGGAAUCGAUUGCUCUUGUGUUGAUCUCAACUUAAGAUGUGUGGUAAUUGUUUAUGUCUGUUUAGCCUUUCUGAUUUACAUUCUAAGUGAAUUAACUUCCCUUAAAGCAUUUUUAGAAUCAUACUGUGAUUUUUAUUUAAAAAAUGUAAUUACAAUGAGGUGUUUGACAAUUUAACACAUUUAAUUAUA
rnacentral:lncRNA from 1 species